rnacentral:rRNA from 1 species
AACCUUACCUGGUCUUGACAUAGUAAGAACUUUCCAGAGAUGGAUUGGUGCCUUCGGGAACUUACAUACAGGUGCUGCAUGGCUGUCGUCAGCUCGUGUAGUGAGAUGUUGGGUUAAGUCCCGCAACGAGCGCAACCCUUUUCCUAUUUGCCAGCGGGUUAAGCCGGGAACUUUAAGGAUACUGCCAGUGACAAACUGGAGGAAGGCGGGGACGACGUCAAGUCAUCAUGGCCCUUACGACCAGGGCUACACACGUGCUACAAUGGUCGGUACAAAGGGUUGCUACCUAGCGAUAGGAUGCUAAUCUCAAAAAGCCGAUCGUAGUCCGGAUUGGAGUCUGCAACUCGACUCCAUGAAGUCGGAAUCGCUAGUAAUCGCGGAUCAGAAUGCCGCGGUGAAUACGUUCCCGGGCCUUGUACACACCGCCCGUCACACCAUGGGAGUUUGUUGCACCAGAAGUAGGUAGUCUAACCGCAAGGAGGACGCUUACCACGGUGUGGCCGAUGACUGGGGUGAAGUCGUAACAAGGUAAGCGUAGAUGA